UUGAGGGGAACUCCACACAAUAUGAGAACUGCUUCAGUUUUUGUGCUGUUUUUUGUGCUGUUUGCUGGACCACAUGGAUUCAUUAGAUCACCGACUCUUUUCAAAGUCACUGAAGGAGAGAAUUUAACAGUCACAUGUCAGGUUUAUUAUUUGGGAAAUACUAAAAUCUUUUGUAAAGCUGAUUGUGACAAAAAAGAAAACAUUCUGGUUCAGACUGCAGGCUCCCGUCAGCAGAACAGCAGAUACAGUAUUGAAGAGAAACAUCAAUCAGGGUUUUUGCAUAUGUCUGUGAACAUUACAGAUGUGCACAGAUCAGAUGCAGGACUGUACCAGUGUGGUCUGGAUUAUGGGCAGAAAAACUCAACCAUGGUGCAAUUUCAAAUUGAGGUCUCCCCUGGUGAGUCUGGGUCUGUCGGUGCAGGUGAGUCUGGGUCUGUCGGUGCAGCCUGAGAUAUGAGAGAGGCGUGACAAGUGGCACCUGAGAAAGGAAGGAAAUGAUAUAUGUGUGACUUUGUGCAGCUGAAAAGUGUUCGCAGUCAGUCAGAACCCAAAAGUGUCAAGGACAUCAGUUGAACAUGAACAUGUGUUCACUAUUGAUGCUGUUUGUUGUGUUGUGCCAUGGAAGACUAUUAUUCAGCAAAACAGAGACUAAAGUGAUUGAAGCAACAGAAGGAGACAAUUUUACAGCCCAAUGUUUACUUUAUUUCAAUGGAAAACAAAAAAAUCUUCUGUCAAAAUGACUGUAAAGGGAAAGAAGACACUUUGGUUGAGACUGCAAACAACCGACUGCAGAAUGGAAGAUACGGCAUUGAAGUUAUCAAAGGAUCUCACACGCAAGUACUACAACAUUAAAUGUGAUCAUCACAAACGUGAGAAGAUCUGAUGCUGGGUCAUACACAUGUGGUCUGGAACAUGGAGAUAUUUCAACAUUUAUAUUAAAAGUCAUCAGUGAUUCAUACAGAAGACUUCAAAUGUAUGAUGCAAAAUGUAUGGAAUUAUCAAACAAAGAAACAAAAGUGAAAUAACUCAACUAAAUAUUUGUAUAUUUUAUAUUCAAAUUCCUCAAAGUAACCACCCUUUGCUUUGUUGACAGAGCUGCAAACUCUUGGCGUUUUCCCAGUAACAGAGAAAUAAAGUUACUUGAAAUGUUUUUUACUUCACAGGUGAACCAGGGUCAGGGUCAAGGAACACCAAUUGUCAAAAGCUGUGAUAAAAGCAAAGGGUGUCUGUUUUCAAAACAAGUUUCGAUUUAGUUAGAGUUUAUUUUUGUUCCUACAAUCUAUAAAUGUUCAUUCAUAGUUUUGAUGCCUUCAGUGAUGGAAAUAAAGCAGAAACAUGAAUGAGAAGUGUCCAGACUUUUGCCUGGUAGUGUCCGUUUUUAAGUGGACGGUCCAAAAUCCUUUUUUAUUUAUUAAUUUAUCUUCACAACAAGACCACAUUAAGACCUUUGUCUUAACGUUUUUCUGCUAUGUUUCACAAAACUGUAUAAAACUUAUCUCCAUGGAGACCAGCAGAUAACUCCACCAAACCAAGUAGUUUUUGGCAUUAAUGAAAAGUAGAUUAAGUUUAAUGCCAUACCAUGAAACAUUCCUGGCAAAACAAUCAAGCAUGUGACCCUGCACCAGAAAAGUUAAAUAGUAAACCUUUUUUUUUUUUUUUUUUUAAAGCACUUUCACUUUCAGAAAUUUCAAAGUCAAUAUUGCCCUUCAUAAUUAGUUUAAAUAGAUGCAGAAUCUUACAUGUGUCACAUUUUGUGAGGAAAACACAGAAGUCCAGAGCAGAGGGUGAGUAUGGGGUAUAAAGGAAAAUGGAAAUGGAGCUAUGGUGUUUUGAAUGCAGGAGAAUGCAGAUAUUUGUGGAGAGUUUUUCCCUUUUAGCCCACAGCCCUCUUGGCUACAUGGUAAUGAGUCAAAGAUUGCAGACACACUCACUCUGGCAGAGCUUUUAAAUGUCACAGCCGUCACAGAUUGGUUCAGAUGCCAUCACCAUAUAUGUACCUGUACCAUCCUACUCCAGCAGCCAAAUACUGCUGACCUGUUCACACUCACUCACAAGGAAAAUCAUGAAUCAAAUCUGCCUUUUUGUCUGUGUUACAAGUUCACUUCUGUCAAAUGUUAUUGUAUAGAUCGAUUAUUGCAUCAGCCAGUAAUGUGAUAUAGAUAUUCUUGAAUCUUUAAUCCUUUAAUCUUUCUUUGCAGUGGAAACCCCAACACCAGGUUUGACCCUCGGAGCUGCUCCCACCACAUCCCUCCAUAAUGUGACACCAGCACAGACGACACAAAGGACACAAGAAGCAUCUGAAGUGACGAGCUCACAGCAACCUCAGGAGGAGCACAACUCAUCCACACUGUCUGUUGUGCUGCAGUAUGUUGCUGUGAGUGUAACCACCAUUCUGAUUAUUGUAUCAGGGAGUAUUUUGAUUUGGUGCUGGAAAAGGAAAACCAAUAGACCAACAGCUGCUGCUGAUGACUGUGAAACUCCAGAGUAUGAAAACUACCGUGUGGACAACAUGGACCCAAACCAAACCUACAGUAACAUAUGAGACCAAGUCAAGACAAGUGAGGACAUGUAGAACACCUCAAGUAUGAUGUCACUCCAUCCAAGUGUCAGUUGUCAUUAGUUCAAUGGAAUAUAGAUGUUUUGGUCAAAUUAAUAUGGACCCCGUGUUUAAAAAAUGUAAAGUGCUUGAAUCCGACUACACUGAGGCAAUCUCUUUUCUCAGAUCCAACACCAGCCCACUUUUCGUAAUUUAACCUUUCUUACUUUUUAACUCUGAAGUCAAAAUAAUAAAGUGAAUAAGUUCAAA